rnacentral:rRNA from 1 species
CCGGUCGUACGAAGACCGGAGGAAGUGGGAUGACGUCAAAUCAUCAUGCCCCUUAUGUUCUGGGCUACACACGUGCUACAAUGGCCGGUACAGACGGAGGCGAAGCCGCGAGGCGGAGCAAAUCCGAAAAAGCCGGUCUCAAAUUCGGAUUGCAGGCUGCAAUUCGCCUGCAUGAAGUCGGAAUCGCUAGUAAUCGCGGAUCAGUAUGCCGCGGUGAAUACGUUCCCGGGCCUU